AGUCUGAGCUUCUGUUUCUUACAAAACUCUAUCUGUUCAUGUUUACCGAUCUGAUAGAUAACUGAUAUAAAACUAAAGGGACAGACAGAUAUUAAAAGAGUUUAGAUGUUUAUUUCUGAUUUAUUGUGCAAUGAUUCCACGUAAUUCCAUGAAAUCUCCGCCCACUCUGUCAGUCACUUUAUAAACACACAGUAUUGCGCUGAUAUUUACACAGGAGAGAGAGAGAGAGAGACUGAGACUCUGACUCUGACUGACUAUUUGCACAGGAUCUCGGAAUUAUCAGAAGAUUUUGGAGAAGAUAAGGUUGAAUCUGGACGGGAGGAUGAAGAGGAAGAUGAAGCUGUUGCUCCGUGUAGCUGUGGUGUGUGUGCUGGUGUGUGUGCUGGGACUCGUGGGGACUCUGGUGAAGACAGAAGAGCAGUUCUGUUCUGAUGGACUCAUAAACACCUCAUGUAAACAAAAACCCCACAGUCUUUAUCAUGAAGACGCUGAUUCAGUGAGUUAUGAGCAAUUAAAGCAGAUGUUGGCAGCUGGAAAGCUGAAGCUGUUUGAUGUUCGUGAACCAGAAGAGUUUAAGGAAGGAGCCAUCCCAGGAGCAACUAAUAUUCCAUUGUCUGAGGUGCAGCAGGCUUUCACACUGACUCCAGAUCAGUUUUUGCAGCGUUUCGGUGUCCCCAUGCCUGAGAAACACUCCUCAGAUGUGAUACUGUACUGCCAGAGGGGGCGCCGCAGUCUCACUGCACUACACACUGUACACACACUGGGCUACAGCAGAGCACAUCAUUAUGUUGGAGGUUACAGCGACUGGCUCGAGCGUGAAGUCCAGUGAAACUGCAGUCUGUUCUGGGGUUUGUUUGUGACUGCAACAAGCUUCUGAUACACACAGCAGAGCAGCAGGCUGAUGAUCCCGGUCAGAAUAACAAACCCAGCAACACCACAGGUGAUGAAGACUAUCAUCAUCACCGGCACACCUGAGGGAGGAAGAAGAAGAGCACUCUUUAAUGAGUUUUGUGAAUGAAAUCUAUGGAAAACUGACACUUUUUCUUUAACUCUUUAUUUUUUAACACACACUCUGUGGUUUUCUAGCUCACAUUAUUUUGUGUGGAUGUUCAUUAGAAAUGUCGGGCUAGAAUUCAACAGAAAUCCUUAACGAAUUAAACUGCAUUUUAGAAAGAAAUCUCUGCGCUAUUAAAUGACCAUUCAGUUAGCAUGCUUAUCACGACUAGCAUACAAUUAGCAUGCUAAUCAUGACUAGCUUCUGUUGACUGGCUGAAAUUAAGAUUUAUUUUUAAUCUUAUUUAAUUAAGAUUAGAUUUAUUUCAGAAAUAAAGGACAAAUACUGAAAAUCAGUCAGUAGAAGAGCAGAAACAGCUAACGUCUAGCUGUAACUGUUUAUCUACAAAGCUAGCUAGCUAAUUGUGAUUGACUGCGUUCACAUCCCAUCACACUUCCCCCAGUUUGUCACAUUACAGAUUUAUUCUCAAUGGAUUCAAUUCAUCUUCACCACUGAGCUGCGAAAAUACACUUUAAAGGUUUCCUAAAUUGACUAAAAUUCAGAUUAAACCAUCUGGGAAGAUCGGUGAGAUCGGGUUUCAGCAGAUCUCUCUCCUCAGUGUGAGGUUGAUUUAAACUGGACUUUAUAAAUUUACAGCAGGGUUCCUGAGGGUUCUUUAAUCACUACAGCUUACUGUCCUGACCGCACUGUCUAUCAACCGUCCAGAAAGGUGUCCUAAUAAAACCGUUUCAGAAACAGAGAUGGGCUGGACAGUGCAGAUGACCAGCAGGUGGCGCUGUGACCCGCUGCUGUGACUUGGCUAGGUUUUUUUUCU